CGCGGUCACACAAGAGACCCAAAUUAACUGUAUACGGCGUAAAGAGUGGGACCAUGAUAUCGUAACAACUAUGAUCAAAAUGUAGCCAAGCUGUCAUAAGCUUAAGAUGCACCUAAGACCUCCAUUAAAAUGAUCCUAGCAUAUCUGAUCGAUUCAACUCCACGAAAGCUAGGGCACAAACUGGGAUUAGAUACCCCACUAUGCCUAGCCCUAAAUUUUGAUGCUUGCCUUACCAAAGCAUCCGCCCGAGAACUACGAGCAUAAACGCUUAAAACUCUAAGGACUUGGCGGUGCCCUAAACCCACCUAGAGGAGCCUGUUCUAUAAUCGAUAACCCACGAUUCACCCGACCACCUCUCGCCAAAGCAGCCUACAUACCGCCGUCGCCAGCUCACCUCCCCUGAGAGCCUAGCAGUGAGCACAAAAGCCUAGCCCGCUAGCAAGACAGGUCAAGGUAUAGCCCAUGAGGUGGAAGAAAUGGGCUACAUUUUCUACAAUAGAAAAUCCACGGAAGGGGGCAUGAAAUGGCCCCCAGAAGGCGGAUUUAGCAGUAAAGCGGGACAAUAAGGCCCCCUUUAAGUCGGCUCUGGGGCACGUACAUACCGCCCGUCACCCUCCUCACAAGCCACCAACCACCAUAAUUAAUAGGCCCUAUGGCUGAAGAUGAGGUAAGUCGUAACAA
rnacentral:rRNA from 1 species